rnacentral:rRNA from 1 species
UCAGGACGAACGCUGGCGGCGUGCCUAAUACAUGCAAGUCGAGCGGACAGAUGGGAGCUUGCUCCCUGAUGUUAGCGGCGGACGGGUGAGUAACACGUGGGUAACCUGCCUGUAAGACUGGGAUAACUCCGGGAAACCGGGGCUAAUACCGGAUGGUUGUUUGAACCGCAUGGUUCAAACAUAAAAGGUGGCUUCGGCUACCACUUACAGAUGGACCCGCGGCGCAUUAGCUAGUUGGUGAGGUAACGGCUCACCAAGGCGACGAUGCGUAGCCGACCUGAGAGGGUGAUCGGCCACACUGGGACUGAGACACGGCCCAGACUCCUACGGGAGGCAGCAGUAGGGAAUCUUCCGCAAUGGACGAAAGUCUGACGGAGCAACGCCGCGUGAGUGAUGAAGGUUUUCGGAUCGUAAAGCUCUGUUGUUAGGGAAGAACAAGUACCGUUCGAAUAGGGCGGUACCUUGACGGUACCUAACCAGAAAGCCACGGCUAACUACGUGCCAGCAGCCGCGGUAAUACGUAGGUGGCAAGCGUUGUCCGGAAUUAUUGGGCGUAAAGGGCUCGCAGGCGGUUUCUUAAGUCUGAUGUGAAAGCCCCCGGCUCAACCGGGGAGGGUCAUUGGAAACUGGGGAACUUGAGUGCAGAAGAGGAGAGUGGAAUUCCACGUGUAGCGGUGAAAUGCGUAGAGAUGUGGAGGAACACCAGUGGCGAAGGCGACUCUCUGGUCUGUAACUGACGCUGAGGAGCGAAAGCGUGGGGAGCGAACAGGAUUAGAUACCCUGGUAGUCCACGCCGUAAACGAUGAGUGCUAAGUGUUAGGGGGUUUCCGCCCCUUAGUGCUGCAGCUAACGCAUUAAGCACUCCGCCUGGGGAGUACGGUCGCAAGACUGAAACUCAAAGGAAUUGACGGGGGCCCGCACAAGCGGUGGAGCAUGUGGUUUAAUUCGAAGCAACGCGAAGAACCUUACCAGGUCUUGACAUCCUCUGACAAUCCUAGAGAUAGGACGUCCCCUUCGGGGGCAGAGUGACAGGUGGUGCAUGGUUGUCGUCAGCUCGUGUCGUGAGAUGUUGGGUUAAGUCCCGCAACGAGCGCAACCCUUGAUCUUAGUUGCCAGCAUUCAGUUGGGCACUCUAAGGUGACUGCCGGUGACAAACCGGAGGAAGGUGGGGAUGACGUCAAAUCAUCAUGCCCCUUAUGACCUGGGCUACACACGUGCUACAAUGGACAGAACAAAGGGCAGCGAAACCGCGAGGUUAAGCCAAUCCCACAAAUCUGUUCUCAGUUCGGAUCGCAGUCUGCAACUCGACUGCGUGAAGCUGGAAUCGCUAGUAAUCGCGGAUCAACAUGCCGCGG